rnacentral:rRNA from 1 species
GACGAACGCUGGCGGCGUGCCUAAUACAUGCGAGUAGAACGCUGAAGCGAGGAGCUUGCUCUUCUUGGAUGAGUUGCGAACGGGUGAGUAACGCGUAGGUAACCUGCCUUGUAGCGGGGGAUAACUAUUGGAAACGAUAGCUAAUACCGCAUAACAAUGGAUGACACAUGUCAUUUAUUUGAAAGGGGCAAUUGCUCCACUACAAGAUGGACCUGCGUUGUAUUAGCUAGUAGGUGAGGUAAUGGCUCACCUAGGCGACGAUACAUAGCCGACCUGAGAGGGUGAUCGGCCACACUGGGACUGAGACACGGCCCAGACUCCUACGGGAGGCAGCAGUAGGGAAUCUUCGGCAAUGGGGGCAACCCUGACCGAGCAACGCCGCGUGAGUGAAGAAGGGUUUCGGAUCGUAAAGCUCUGUUGUAAGUCAAGAACGGGUGUGAGAGUGGAAAGUUCACACUGUGACGGUAGCUUACCAGAAAGGGACGGCUAACUACGUG